AACGCUAGCUACAGGCUUAACACAUGCAAGUCGAGGGGCAGCACAGUGUAGCAAUACACGGGCGGCGACCGGCGCACGGGUGCGUAACGCGUAUCCAACCUUCCCGAUACUCAGGGAUAGCCUUCCGAAAGGGAGAUUAAUACAAGAUGGUAUUCAAAUUCCGCAUGUUAUUUGAAUUAAAGAUUUAUCGGUAUCGGAUGGGGAUGCGUGACAUUAGGUAGAUGGCGGGGUAACGGCCCACCUUGCCUACGAUGUCUAGGGGUUCUGAGAGGAAGGUCCCCCACACUGGAACUGAGACACGGUCCAGACUCCUACGGGAGGCAGCAGUGAGGAAUAUUGGUCAAUGGUCGGAAGACUGAACCAGCCAAGUAGCGUGAAGGAUGAAGGUUCUAUGGAUUGUAAACUUCUUUUAUACGGGAAUAAAACCUCCCACGUGUGGGAGCUUGUAUGUACCGUAUGAAUAAGCAUCGGCUAACUCCGUGCCAGCAGCCGCGGUAAUACGGAGGAUGCGAGCGUUAUCCGGAUUUAUUGGGUUUAAAGGGAGCGUAGACGGGAGAUUAAGUCAGUUGUGAAAGGCUGCGGCUCAACCGCAGCACUGCAGUUGAUACUGGUUUCCUUGAGUGCGGUUGAGGUGUAUGGAAUUCGUGGUGUAGCGGUGAAAUGCUUAGAUAUCACGAAGAACUCCGAUUG
rnacentral:rRNA from 1 species